CCUACGGGAGGCAGCAGCUAAGAAUAUUCCGCAAUGGACGAAAGUCUGACGGAGCGACGCCGCGUGGAUGAUGAAGGCCGAAAGGUUGUAAAGUCCUUUUGCUGGGGAAGAAUAAGCGUGGGAGGGAAUGCCCGGGUGAUGACAUGAACCGGCGAAUAAGCCCCGGCUAACUACGUGCCAGCAGCCGCGGUAAUA
rnacentral:rRNA from 1 species